GUUUUCUGGAGCAGAGGGUGACCAACUGAGCCCUGGCCCUGUGACUGGGGACAGCUGCAGCGGGGGAGGGGUCAGGAGACUCUAGAGUGGAGAGGAAGAGUGAACAGGGAAUGGCCUUGGCCAAAAUGUCCCCCUGCCUCCCUUUUCCCCGGGUGGCCACACCCUUCCCACUCCCACUUCUCAGAAAACGGCAAAGCAGCAGAAUACUGGACUUUGCAAGGCAGAUGUAGCCACUGAGGACCAGAGAAAACACCUGUCCAAGGCAGCACAGCUGGGACCAGAAGCAAGUCCCCAAUUGUCUACUCUCCUGUGCCCAUCUGCUUCUGCUCAGUCCCCUAGACCUUGGAACAGAGGGUCCCGCACUCACACAGGCCAUGAUUGAAGCUGAAGCGAAGAGAUUCCUGAGACCUGCUCCACCAGCAGUCAGAAGACUCCACCCGAGAGACGGGCCCCAGGCCCGCUCCGACCUUUUUAACUGGAUCAGACCCGGGCCCUGCACUUCGCAUUGAAGGAUGAAGACUGCUGUAGGUCACCGCCCUGCGGAAUGCUGUGUCCUGUGAUGUGUGUGAAAUGUAUCCUACGUGGCAGAGAAUUCGCUGCUGGGACUUGAAGCACAGGCGGCAGCUCAUCUACCAUUGAGCUACUACACACCUGACCAGGGCACCACAUAGCUACUGCUUCCUAAGAGUAAUAGAGUCCUGGGUUAUGUGGAUGCAUGUCUCUGUGGAGGCCAAAGGACUUCAAGUGUCCCUGCUCCAGCAACACCCCCCCUUCUUUUUCAAACAGGGUUUCUCUGUGUAGCCCUGGUUGUCCUGGAACUCACUUUGUAGACCAGGCUGGUUGCAAACUCACAGAGAUCCACCUGCCUCUACCUCCUCACUACUGAAAUCAAAGGCCACCACUCCUGGGUUUUUAAGGGACUGAAACCAACCUACAGGGAAAGGCCUCAGAGAUGCUAAAAGCUCAAUGGGCAAAAUGUAUCUGCGCUGAGGCUGAGGACACAGAGAUGGGAGGCAUCCUUUCUUGUGGGCUAUGGGUAUAGGAGGCGGUGCUUCAGGGAGACAGGCUUAGGCACACACACACAAAGAGAGACACUUCAAUUCACAUUUUAUUAAGUUCAAGGACCGGUUACAACAGGUGGAGGGGGUGGGAAGGUCCCUACCCCCACCUUCACUGGCACACAAUAAAUAAAUAAAUAGCUGGGAAUGGG